rnacentral:lncRNA from 1 species
CAAUCGCGGACAGCUGGAAGUCAGCAAUCGACAUUCCCAGCUCUGCCGGCGUCUCCCCAGGACCAGGCUCCAGGUUCUUCCGCAUGGCGCUGGUGGCUCCUGGGAGCCCACCCAGCCUCUCUGGAGCCCCGUGGCCCACGACUUCCCCGGUGGGCUGCCACCUCUUCCACGCGUCCCAUUGUCACCAUCCCGCUGGAACUGUCUUUCCUCCCACCGCUUCCUCAAAACUGAGAUUGUCACGGCCACCCAGGACCUCCAAGUUGCCAAAUGCAACUUCGCUGUGCUCUGCGCAGGGGCAUGUGACAGCCUGGCUCCCACCUCGGGCUUGGAAUGCCCUCUUCCCCUGGCUUUCGGGCAGCCUGGCUCACUUGCAGCCUCUCCUUGCCUCUCUCCGGCUGCCCUUCUCAGCUGUCCUGCUCUGCGCAGUCUGGGAUGUGGGUGCACUGGGCUCUACCUGGCCUGGCUUUUCUCUGCCUUAUGUCUGCUCCUCCCUAGGGAACCUCAUCUGGGCCCCGCAGCCCUCUCUCUUGGCAGGAUCCCAAAGGUCGUUUGCCUUCCCCUGUAUCACAUUGAGGAGAAGAAAGAGGCAGAAACGGAGAUUGAGAGAGAAGAUUCGCCAAAGGACUGGAUACAGGAGCUGGCUCAGCCCAGGACAUGGGAUGUGUGCUUGGAACCUGGAGAGGAAACACUUCACUGGGGGCUCAGGGUGGCCAGUUUUCCUGCUCGCUGGUGAGGAAUCCUUCAGCUCAGCAGAAAUGCUAAAUUGGUACCGUCCAGAUUUUCAAACACUGAAUUCGAAAUAUGAUGUACAUCUGAAAAAAAUUAAAAUUAAAAAAAAGAGGAAGAAAGUAUGACCACUCUGAGUAUCUGCGGCUGUAUUUUAGUUCAGAAGAAUCAACAGGGAAUCGACAAGGAUGACAAAGGUUGUGGCAUCUUCCAGUUUGCGUUUCUACACCUCAGAAAGCACCUGCUGUUCCGGGCCCUUCAAGAGUUCCCCAGGCUGGAAAGCGUCUCCGAAAUAGUGUGCGCUGGCCCUGGUCCGCCUCUCUGCCACGACGGAGAACAGACUUUCAACACACACGCCAGGGAGUUUAGGAGAGGGCUCCCUAAUUCUCCCCCUUUCCCACAUCAUCGGUUGCCUCCUUGUUCGUUCCCAAUCGUUCCCAUGAGCAUACAAAUGUGCUGUCAUUUCUCCCAUCUGGGCAGCAACCCUCCUCCAGAUACCCCCUGAGAGGGGCAUGUUUCGAGCUGGAGCCAGCACGGCUGCGGAUGGACUGGCUGCAUACCAGAGAUCGGUGCUGAG